rnacentral:rRNA from 1 species
UAGUCCACGCAGUAAACGAUGAGUGCUAAUUGUCGGGAUCUUGAGUCUCGGUGGUGAAGCUAACGCGUUAAGCACUCCGCCUGGGGAGUACGGCCGCAAGGCUAAAACUCAAAGGAAUUGACGGGGACCCGCACAAGCAGUGGAGCAUGUGGUUUAAUUCGAUGCAACGCGAGAAACCUUACCAGCCCUUGAAUCCUAGUCGCGAUUUCCAGAGAUGGAUUUCUUCAGUUCGGCUGGACUAGUGACAGGUGUUGCAUGGCUGUCGUCAGCUCGUGUCGUGAGAUGUUAGGUUAAGUCCUUCAACGAGCGCAACCCUCAUCCUUAUUUGCCAUCAGGUUAUGCUGGGAACUAUAAGGAAACUGCCAACGACAAGUUGGAGGAAGGUGGGGAUGAUGUCAAGUCAUCAUGGCCCUUAUGGGCUGGGCUACACACAUGCUACAAUGGUGGUUACAACAGGCUAGCGAAAGAGUAAUCUGGAGCCAAUCCUUCAAAAACCA